AUAAUACCACGACUUUUCGUCUUUGAUCUCUUCAAUAGAAAAUACAUGAGCUGGCCUAUUAAGAUGCAUCACAGUCAGAUUGGGAACUUCAUUCCAAUAUUUCACUACAAUCAUUGAAGCCAACGUUGCAAGAGCAUCUGCCAUCCGAUUUUCAUCUUGAGGGAUAUGAUGAAACUCAACCUUUGUAAAGAAAGUCGAAAUCCGCCUCGCAUAAUCUCUAUAUGGUAUCAAAUCGGGUUGUUUGUCUC
rnacentral:lncRNA from 1 species